AUGCAGCCGAGCGGUAGAAGAUCUUCGGAUCUUUGAGAGCGGCGCACGGGUGCGGAACACGUGUGCAACCUGCCUUUAUCAGGGGGAUAGCCUUUCGAAAGGAAGAUUAAUACCCCAUAAUAUAAUGACUGGCAUCAGUUAUUAUUGAAAACUCCGGUGGAUAGAGAUGGGCACGCGCAAGAUUAGAUAGUUGGUGAGGUAACGGCUCACCAAGUCUGCGAUCUUUAGGGGGCCUGAGAGGGUGAUCCCCCACACUGGUACUGAGACACGGACCAGACUCCUACGGGAGGCAGCAGUGAGGAAUAUUGGACAAUGGGUGAGAGCCUGAUCCAGCCAUCCCGCGUGAAGGACGACGGCCCUAUGGGUUGUAAACUUCUUUUGUAUAGGGAUAAACCUACUCUCGUGAGAGUAGCUGAAGGUACUAUACGAAUAAGCACCGGCUAACUCCGUGCCAGCAGCCGCGGUAAUACGGAGGGUGCAAGCGUUAUCCGGAUUUAUUGGGUUUAAAGGGUCCGUAGGCUGAUUUGUAAGUCAGUGGUGAAAUCUCACAGCUCAACUGUGAAACUGCCAUUGAUACUGCAAGUCUUGAGUGUUGUUGAAGUAGCUGGAAUAAGUAGUGUAGCGGUGAAAUGCAUAGAUAUUACUUAGAACACCAAUUGCGAAGGCAGGUUACUAAGCAACAACUGACGCUGAUGGACGAAAGCGUGGGGAGCGAACAGGAUUAGAUACCCUGGUAGUCCACGCCGUAAACGAUGCUAACUCGUUUUUGGGUUUUCGGAUUCAGAGACUAAGCGAAAGUGAUAAGUUAGCCACCUGGGGAGUACGUUCGCAAGAAUGAAACUCAAAGGAAUUGACGGGGGCCCGCACAAGCGGUGGAUUAUGUGGUUUAAUUCGAUGAUACGCGAGGAACCUUACCAAGGCUUAAAUGGGAAUUGACAGGUUUAGAAAUAGACUUUUCUUCGGACAAUUUUCAAGGUGCUGCAUGGUUGUCGUCAGCUCGUGCCGUGAGGUGUUAGGUUAAGUCCUGCAACGAGCGCAACCCCUGUCACUAGUUGCCAUCAUUCAGUUGGGGACUCUAGUGAGACUGCCUACGCAAGUAGAGAGGAAGGUGGGGAUGACGUCAAAUCAUCACGGCCCUUACGCCUUGGGCCACACACGUAAUACAAUGGCCAGUACAGAGGGCAGCUACACAGCGAUGUGAUGCAAAUCUCGAAAGCUGGUCUCAGUUCGGAUUGGAGUCUGCAACUCGACUCUAUGAAGCUGGAAUCGCUAGUAAUCGCGCAUCAGCCAUGGCGCGGUGAAUACGUUCCCGGGCCUUGUACACACCGCCCGUCAAGCCAUGGAAGUCUGGGGUACCUGAAGUCGGUGACCGUAACAGGAGCUGCC
rnacentral:rRNA from 1 species